UCAGGAUCGCAUAAAAUGGUGCUGCUGCCAGUGACGACGCUGCUUGGGGAGCAAGGGGGAACAAGAACAGUGUAUGAGAGACAGAGACAGAGCGAGGGGGAGAGACGGUGAGGAAGAGAGAAGCAUCGAGGGGAGAAGAAUGGAGAGGACGAAAGGCCGUGGAACGAGAGAGAGAAAGGGACGGAAACAGAGACAGAGAUGUGCCGGCUGGCAAGCAGAUGGUUGCGCCGUUUAUUGGUUUAUUCGUCGGUUCAGCCAUCACGUCCCGUCCAGCCAUCAGACCAGCCGGUGUUCCUCUUUAUAUUCCUCACGUUGAGGAGGAUCGACUUAACUGCCCGGGCCUUAUCUACUCUACUUUGACCGCGACACGAUGGUGCAUCGAUCGUCAGGAAAACACGGCUGCGUUGUCGAAGAACAUCGUUAGGACUCGAGAAGUUCAGAAGAAGAUUUGUCGGAUCUAUGGCAUAUAGUGGAUCGUGGUGUAUCGUGCGGCGGCAGGGUGCGGAUGUCGAUUGUCUGAAGAGGGGCUCGAGCGGUGAAAGGGUUGAUUGAUGCUGACUCGACUGCUUUUAUCGUCACUUAUACGAUACUGAAAGUGACCAUCACCGUUGGAAUCAAAACAUUUUCUACAGAUGUUGGAUUACGCUGUGCAAUCGGCAGGAGUGACUUCACUCACCAUCAAAUUACAAACUUCAUCUAAUUUCUGCUACAUUCUGCUACAAAAAUCUUCGUAUCACAGGUAAUCAGAAGCCUAGACAAAAGUGAUCGAGCUUCUUUAGGUAUAUAUUCGUGUUGACUUAUUGAUCCCCAUGGAGAGAUUACAACCUUCCCAUGGGAACAAAUCAACGUCUGGCGAGAAAUAUGUAUGCGUCCAAGGAAUCGUUUCGGAUGUCAUCGUCAAAGUCGUCUUUCGAGGGAUUAAAGUUUCUGACAAGCUUGUUAAAAUAUAACCUCUCACUCGAACGGCUCGAACGGUGUAUUAGCAAUCGUAAAUUGGCAUAAUAUUCGGAAGUCUUCGAAGCUUAAGGAGCUUCUUUGUAAUUGGAAGUUUUGAAAAUCGUUAGA